CCUACGGGAGGCAGCAGUGGGGGAUAUUGCACAAUGGAGGAAACUCUGAUGCAGCGACGCCGCGUGAGGGAAGACGGUCUUCGGAUUGUAAACCUCUGUCUUUGGGGAAGAAACUGACGGUACCCAAAGCGGAAGCUCCGGCAAACUACGUGACAGCAGCCGCGGUAAUACGUAGGGAGCGAGCGUUGUCCGGAAUUACCGGGUGUAAGGGGAGCGUAGGCGGGCGAGAAAGUUGAAUGUUAAAUCUACCGGCUAAACUGGGAGCUGCGGUUAAAAAGGCUUGUCUGGAGUGAAGUAGAGGCAGGCGGAAUUCCUAGUGUAGCGGUGAAAUGCGUAGAUAUUAGGAGGAACACCAGUGGCGAAGGCGGCCUGCUGGGCUUUAACUGACGCUGAGGCUCGAAAGCGUGGGGAGCAAACAGGAUUAGAUACCCCGGUAGUC
rnacentral:rRNA from 1 species